GUCUCCAUGGCAACGCGGCCUAGCGCCAGGCUCCGGGAACUCCCGGCCUUUGUUUUCAUGAUUCAUGAGGAGCCAGAGUCCUCUUGCUGCCCAGAGUCAACGCUGCCGGCCGGCAGAGCUCCCGCUGAGGGAAGAGCAGCAAUAUGGUGCAGAAGCCUGCCUGGUCAACAUGAAACUCGCCCUUAGCGAACAAAUUUCAUGGACCCCCCCCCGGCAGUAAUGUGGAAAUGUGCCUUUGUUCUAAUAGGUCAUAGAGACAUAGAGCCAAACAGCUUGGAAACAGGCCCUUUGGCCCAACUUUCCCAUUAUAACUAGUCCCACCUGCCUGCGUUUGGGCCAUAUCCCUCUGAACUUAUCCAGUCCAUGUUUCUGUCCAAAUGUUGCUGAAGUUUUUUAAGUUUCAUAGUUUGAACUUACCUUGCUUGUCCUUCCUCAUCUGAAGGGUAUGCUAAGAGCAGCAGUCCUAUGUUAAUGAUGACAUGGUUGGUUACCGGACAUACCUUGGAACGAAAACAGAUCAGUGUUCUAUAGGUGCUAAUUACGUAUCUAAAUACAGCGAGCAGACAUCGAACUGCACUUGCGUGCAGCGGAACUUUGAUUUAUGUCUUCACACAAGGCCCUUCAACAGACAACAUACAAGACCAUUUUAGCGGUGAAGCAGCGGCAGAGGACACCACGGCUUCGCUUGGCCAGGCCAACCCUGCAACACCACCAGGACCACAGGCCUUCAUGGUCAGAUCAAGAUCCCUGCACUUACAACAACUGGGACUUGGAAUGGGCGCCAACUGCCGACUCGGUAUACUAUCUCGGUGUACUACUGCUAUUUACUUUAACUGUAUGAGAUACUUAUCUAAUAUGUAUCAAAGUGCUUAUAUAUCAUGAUACUUGUACUGAACUAUAUACAAAACUAACUUCACUGUACCUCGGUACAUGUGAGAAAUAAAGUGACAUAAUAAUAA